UCCAAAAAAAUGAAAUACUGGGGUGAGUGCCAGAGAUCCCGCUAACAAUCUCUUGGCUUCCCAGCCACGAGCAGACCCAAACUGGGGAGGAAGCCAUGGGGCCACCCUGGUGCUAUUUGAAAAUGGUUAAAAUAAUCUAAUAAAAAAAAUGUAAUUUUCUCCUCCACAAAGCAGCGUGGGGCUGAGCCCUGUGAGAGCCAGCUGGAGCAGGUCACCUACUCACGAGCCCAGUUUUGCUCCUGUCGAAUUCAAGACGCACUUUUGAACUCCCAGGCAGCUCCUUCGGGACCAUUUGGAGCACGAUGCUUGUGUUACUUACUUUAUGGCUCUUAAAGGCAGCCGCAGCGAUUUCACCAAGACUUCCACACGUGGCCCUGGUGCUGGGAACAGAAGUGAAGGGCAUAUAUGCCUGAGGAAGAGAAGCAGAGAAAGGGUUUCUUCAUGUAUCUUUUUUUUUUUUUUUAAUGAAGAUUUUUUUUAUUUUUUAUUUUUUUUAAAAAAAGGAGAACUCUUCUGAGCAAGCUGAAGGAAAUUCUCCACCAGCUGCCAGCAACAGGAGACAUCAAUAACUAGGCGGGAGCUCUUACUUCAUAGUUUUCACGUCUGUAACUCAUCAUCACUGGUCUUGGGACAUGCGGCCACUCGCAAUGAAGCAUGAGCUUUCAAGGAGGCUGUAUUUUUCUCACAGUUUCCCCUUCGUAAGGACACAAAGUGUUCCUGGUGUUUUGCUGAAAUAUUUCCGAGGCUGAAGCCUUUGACCAUGAUUUCUGGCAGUCUGCUCGAAGCAGGGUAUAGUCUAUCGAAGUUGUCUCUGAUCUGGUGCAUACUGCAGAUUUUGCAUGGCUUCUGAGCUGAUGUAGACUCCACAGCAAAGAUUCAACCUCCUACGGAGUAUUGGACAAAAAAAAAAAAA